AUCAGUCCUAUGAGCAAAAAGAGGGAGAAGUGUGAAUACUUGGGUGGGGGGGAAGCAUACGGUAUUAAGUAUCAGUUCUGCACUUACUUGUUAGGAAAUAAUACCAAUUUUUCAGUGUUUUGCUUAACAGCUUUUUCUGCCAGCAGCAUUUUUUGUUUGUUUUGGUAACUUACAAGGUCAUUGCAGUGUAUAAAAUGCUACGACAAAAGACUGCACAGUGCUUGGAUAGUGGUCCUUUGUACCUGUUUUCAUUUAUUUAUUUUCCAUGUUCUUUCAUCGAUACCUGUAUCUUUGGAAAGAAUGGAUAUUUGGUUUGCUCUGCAUUCCUACAUUUCUUAUGUUUUUCCCUUUGCUUUGGAAAAGCAAACAAAAUAAAUAGAACCGAUAGCCAUAUAAGAUCAGGCAAUACCCAGAAGAGAUCAGAUUCUUGUUUGUACUUGACAAAAAAAAAAAAAGCAAAAAAAAAAAUGCGUAAAAAUAUAUUUGGUGUUAUUUUUGGUAAAUUUCCUCUUACAGAAGAUAUUUUUAAGUAUGUAUGGAUCUUUUUAUGGUAAUUAAGAUAUGUUGGACUUUCUUAAGAAUGGAAUUCCAGUGGAAUUAAAUUAUGAAUGUAAAUGAGAAAAACCCAAGCCUGGUCACAGAAAUGUAAGUGGUUUCAGAUCAUAAAUUCUGCUCCAAAAGGCGGUAUCUGACCAUUCUGUAUUUAUAUGUGAAUAUAAAGACACGUUGCUGCAUCACUAAUGGCAUUAAAAAGGGAGUGACUUCAGUGUUGAGAGCUCCAUCUCCACAGCCAGGAGGGCUGCAGUGCUAUGGCAGAGAUGGCACCAUUGGCCCUGGAGGGACAGGUGAGUGCUGUGAGCAGGAGGCUGAGCAGGGGCGAUGCUGCGGUGCUGCUGAUAUGGGCACAUGCUGGGCAUCCCACUCUUCACUUAAAAUGCAAGGGAGACAAAAUGAUUUCUCCUCAACACUUCCCCCUGAAGCUUCUGAAACAGAACAUGAUCACAAGUUUACUGCUUCCACUUUGUUUUUCUCUUUGCAGGAAACGUGCCUUAUCUGAGUGCUUAAGAAGGAGUGGAAGCUGCAGGUUGGCUUCUCUGCUGCAGCUGUUCAUACUUCCAAGUAUGAAGAAGUAAGCCCAAGUGCACCGAAAGAAAAGCUUUACAUUCAGACCUUAGCACAGUAAAUAUUUUGACUGAAUUAUUGCUGCAAUCAAGUUGAACUCGUAUACAGGCUAUAUAGAUUUUAGUCUUGCGAUGUAAUGAGCAGAAGGUGCUUAAACCACUUCGUCUCAACUUGAAUGUAAAUCAGAGUGCAUCCUGUACCCGUACGUGUGCAUUUUCCCCCAGAAGUUGCUGUGUGUUAGGAAUUAAACUCUCUUCAUCUCAUCUUCAACUUUCCCUUCCGCUCCUUAUUAAAGUGAAAACAACUCCUA